rnacentral:rRNA from 1 species
UACAGAGGGUGCGAGCGUUAAUCGGAAUUACUGGGCGUAAAGCGUGCGUAGACGGUUAUGUAAGUCAGGCGUGAAAGCCCCGGGCUCAACCUGGGAAUUGCAUUUGAGACUGCAUAGCUAGGGUGCGGAAGAGGGAAGCGGAAUUUCCGGUGUAGCGGUGAAAUGCGUAGAUAUCGGAAGGAACAUCAGUGGCGAAAGCGGCUUCCUGGUCCAGCACCGACGUUCAGGCACGAAAGCGUGGGGAGCAAACAGG